GCUGGAGCAUGCUGAAGGAGCCGGUCCCGGUCGCCGGACCGCUCAGACCGGCCCGUGCGGGCCCGCACAGCACUCGGUCACACUAAAGCCGCAGCUGGCUCCCUCUGCACGACCGGCUCGGACACGCCAGACCGGUCAGACCGGCCCCUGGGGACCCCCACAACACUUGGUCACACUAAAGCCGCAGCUGGAGGCCUCUGCAGGACCGGCUCGGGCUUGCCAGACCGGUCGGCCCAGCCCCUGCGUGCCCCACAGGACUCGGUCUCACUGCAGGUGCGGCUGGUGGCCUGUACAGGACCAGCUCGGGC
ensembl:lncRNA